UGAAUACGAGACGCUAAGGCGUCGAAGUAGUGUAUGUCAUACUUCCAAGAAAAGCUUGCACUGUCAUAGAUAAAAAACGCCUGUACCAUAACCGACACAGGUGGGUAGGUAGAGUAUACUAAGGGGCGCGAGAUAACUCUCUCUAAGGAACUCGGCAAAAUAACUCCGUAACUUCGGGAGAAGGAGUGCCUUAUUCGUAAGGUUGCAAUAACAAGAUCCAAGCAACUGUUUAUCAAAAACACAGGUCUCCGCUAAGUCGUAAGACGAUGUAUGGGGGCUGACGCCUGCCCAGUGCCAGAAGGUUAAAGAAGUUGGUUAGCAAUUGCGAAGCUGAUAACUGAAGCCCUGGUGAACGGCGGCCGUAACUAUAACGGUCCUAAGGUAGCGAAAUUCCUUGUCGGGUAAGUUCCGACCCGCACGAAAGGCGUAAUGAUUUGGAUACUGUCUCGGAGAGGGGCUCGGUGAAAUAGACUUGUCUGUGAAGAUGCGGACUACCUGCACCAGGACAGAAAGACCCUAUGAAGCUUUACUGUAACUUGAAAUUGAAAUUGGACUUUAUUCGCGCAGUAUAGGUGGGAGGCGUUGAUUAUAAUCUUGUGGGAUUAUUGGAGCCAUCAGUGAGAUACCACUCUUGUAAUGUUAGAUUUCUAACUUUGAAUCAUUAUCUGGUCAAAGAACAGUUUCAGGCGGGCAGUUUGACUGGGGCGGUCGCCUCCUAAACGGUAACGGAGGCGUACAAAGGUUUCCUCUGAACGGUUAGAAAUCGUAUCUAGAGUGUAAAGGCAUAAGGAAGCUUGACUGUGAGACCUACAAGUCGAGCAGGGACGAAAGUCGGUCUUAGUGAUCUGACGGUACUGAGUGGAAAGGCCGUCACUCAACGGAUAAAAGUUACUCUAAGGAUAACAGGCUGAUCUCCCCCAAGAGUUCACAUCGACGGGGAGGUUUGGCACCUGGAUGUCGGCUCAUCGCAUCCUGGGGCGGUAGUACGUCCCAAGGGUUGGGCUGUUCGCCCAUGAAAGCGGUAUGCGAGCUGGGUUCAGAACGUCGUGAGACAGUUCGGUCCAUAUCCGGUGUAGGCGUUAGAAUAUUGAGAGGAGCCUUCUUUAGUACGAGAGGACCGAGAAGGACAUACCUCUGGUGUACCAGUUAUCGUGCCAACGGUAAACGCUGGGUAGCUAUGUAUGGAGUGGAUAACCGCUGAAAGCAUCUAAGUGGGAAGCCCACCUCAAGAUAAGUAUUCUCAU
rnacentral:rRNA from 1 species